AGAUUGCGUCGCGACCCCAGGUCAGGCGGGGACACCCGCCGAGUUUAAGCAUAUAAAUAAGCGGAGGAAAAGAAACUUACGAGGAUUCCCCUAGUAACGGCGAGCGAACCGGGAGGCGCCCAGCUUGAGAAUCGAGCGGCCUCGCCGCUCGAAUUGUAGUCUGUAGAAGCGUCCUCAGCGACGGACCGGGCCCAAGUCCACUGGAAGGUGGCGCCGGAGAGGGUGAGAGCCCCGUCGUGCCCGGACCCUGCCGCACCACGAGGCGCUGUCGGCGAGUCGGGUUGUUUGGGAAUGCAGCCCCAAUUG
rnacentral:rRNA from 1 species